GCUCCAGUAGCGCAGUGGUUAACGCGUUGGACUUCUUAUCCGAAGGUCGUGUGUUCAAGUCGCAUCUGGGAUG